rnacentral:rRNA from 1 species
UUGGAGGGCAAGUCUGGUGCCAGCAGCCGCGGUAAUUCCAGCUCCAAUAGCGUAUAUUAAAGUUGUUGCAGUUAAAAAGCUCGUAGUUGAAUUUCGGGGUCAGUAGGUUGGUCAUGCCACUGGUAUGUACUGGCCUCACUGAUUCCUCCUUCCUGAUGAGCCGUAAUGCCAUUAAUUUGGUGUUGCGAGGAAUCUGGACUGUUACUUUGAAAAAAUUAGAGUGUUUAAAGCAGGCUAACGCUUGAAUACAUUAGCAUGGAAUAAUGAAAUAGGACGUUCGAUCUUAUUUUGUUGGUUUCUAAGAUUGACGUAAUGAUUAAUAGGGAUAGUUGGGGGCAUUAGUAUUCAAUUGUCAGAGGUGAAAUUCUUGGAUUUAUUGAAGACUAACUACUGCGAAAGCAUUUGCCAAGGAUGUUUUCAUUAAUCAAGAACGAAAGUUAGGGGAUCGAAGACGAUCAGAUACCGUCGUAGUCUUAACCAUAAACUAUGCCGACUAGGAAUCAGACGAUGUUAAUUUUUUAAUGACUCGUUUGGCACCUUACGGGAAACCAAAGUGUUUGGGUUC